rnacentral:tRNA from 1 species
GAGUGCUGUGGCUCAGCGGUAAAGCAUACGCUUUGCAUGCAGAUGGUCCCAGGUUCGAUUCCUCACGCUCA